rnacentral:rRNA from 1 species
CGGGAAGAGCUCAAAUUUUGAAUCUGGCGGCGUUUCGUCGUCCGAGUUGUAAUCUAGAGAAGCGUCUUCCGCGCUGGACCGUGUACAAGUCUCCUGGAAGGGAGCGUCAUAGAGGGUGAGAAUCCCGUCUUUGACACGGACUACCAGUGCUAUGUGAUGCGCUCUCGACGAGUCGAGUUGUUUGGGAAUGCAGCUCAAAACGGGUGGUAAAUUCCAUCUAAAGCUAAAUACAUGCGAGAGACCGAUAGCGAACAAGUACCGUGAGGGAAAGAUGAAAAGAACUUUGGAAAGAGAGUUAAACAGUACGUGAAAUUGCUGAAAGGGAAACGCUUGAUGUCAGUCGCGUUGGCUGGGGAUCAACCUUGCUUCUCGCUGGGUGUACUUCCCGGUCGACGGGUCAGCAUCAGUUUCGGUCGCCGUACAAGGGCGAGGGGAAUGUGGCACUCCUCGGAGUGUGUUAUAGCCUUUCGUCGUAUGCGGCGGUGGGGACUGAGGAACUCAGCACGGCUUUGGUUUGUGCUUAGGAUGCUGGCAUAAUGGCCUUAAGCGACCCGUCUG